rnacentral:tRNA from 1 species
ACAGGGGUGUUAGCAGUGGUAGCUAGUUAGUCUCAUAAGCUAAAGGUCGGGGGUUCGACUCCCCCUCCCUGAAC